rnacentral:rRNA from 1 species
GAUGAACGCUAGCGAUAGGCCUAACACAUGCAAGUCGAGGGGCAUCACAUGAAGUAGCAAUACGGAUGGUGGCGACCGGCGCACGGGUGAGUAACACGUAUGCAACCUGCCUUCAACAAGGGGAUAACCCGUUGAAAGACGGACUAAUACCCUAUAACACAGGGGUCCCGCAUGGGGAUAUUUGUUAAAGGACAACCGGUUGAAGAUGGGCAUGCGUUCCAUUAGCUAGUUGGCGGGUAACGGCCCACCAAGGCAACGAUGGAUAGGGGAACUGAGAGGUUUAUCCCCCACACUGGUACUGAGACACGGACCAGACUCCUACGGGAGGCAGCAGUGAGGAAUAUUGGUCAAUGGACGCAAGUCUGAACCAGCCACGUCGCGUGAAGGAAGACGGCCCUACGGGUUGUAAACUUCUUUUAUACGGGAAUAAAUGCCCCACGCGUGGGGUUUUGCAUGUACCGUAUGAAUAAGGAUCGGCUAACUCCGUG